AUUGAACGCUGGCGGCAUGCCUUACACAUGCAAGUCGAACGGCAGCACGGGUGCUUGCACCUGGUGGCGAGUGGCGAACGGGUGAGUAAUACAUCGGAACGUACCUUAUCGUGGGGGAUAACGCAGCGAAAGCUGUGCUAAUACCGCAUACGCCCUGAGGGGGAAAGCGGGGGAUCGAAAGACCUCGCGCGAUUAGAGCGGCCGAGGCCUGAUUAGCUUGUUGGUGGGGUAAAGCCCACCAAGGCGACGAUCAGUAGCUGGUCUGAGAGGACGAUCAGCCACACUGGGACUGAGACACGGCCCAGACUCCUACGGGAGGCAGCAGUGGGGAAUUUUGGACAAUGGGGGCAACCCUGAUCCAGCAAUGCCGCGUGAGUGAAGAAGGCCUUCGGGUUGUAAAGCUCUUUUGUCAGGGAAGAAACACCGGCUCUAACGCAGUCCGGGAAUGACGGUACCUGAAGAAUAAGCACCGGCUAACUACGUGCCAGCAGCCGCAGUAA
rnacentral:rRNA from 1 species